AUAUGUGAGGGUGAUGUGGCUGUGAUAUCUGUCACCCCAUUGAUUGCCAGGGUUGAUUCGGCUGAUCUGGCUGGCUAGGCAGGUGUCCCCUUCUUCCCUCACUGUUCCAUGUGUGUCCCUCCCCAAAGCUGCGUGCUGGGUCAAAGAGGAUAGCCAACCCUGAUAGAGGAGGAUGGGUUAUUGGUCUAGGGUAUACAAGUAGCUGCACUCCCCUGCUUGAACCUCCAAACCUCUCAAGAAGACAUACAAAUAGUCAACAAAUAUAUGAAAAAUCAUCAUCAGGGAAACAUACAUCAAAACCACAAUGAGAUGUCAUCU
rnacentral:snRNA from 10 species